UGCCUUGAAAACCUCUAUCCAAUA
rnacentral:rRNA from 1 species